rnacentral:rRNA from 1 species
CCUACGGGAGGCAGCAGUGGGGGAUAUUGCACAAUGGGGGCAACCCUGAUGCAGCGACGCCGCGUGAGCGAUGGAGUACUUCGGUAUGUAAAGCUCUGUCAGCAGGGAAGAGAAUGACGGUACCUGACCAAGAAGCCCCGGCUAAAUACGUGCCAGCAGCCGCGGUAAUACGUAUGGGGCAAGCGUUAUCUGGAUUUAUUGGGUUUAAAGGGUGCGCAGGUGGAGGUGAAAGUCAGUG